UGGCUGAGCUGCCAACAGAAAGGCUCUCUCAUGCAUUAGAGAACAAGAACCAAGACACAGAAACAGCUCCUCAGAGAAGAAAGGGUUUGGAAUCAUCGCAAAUUUUAUCAAGACUGAGAUAUCAAGAUGGAGAACAUGCUGGAAUGUGUCUUCAUAGUCUUGUGGCUUCAGUUUGGCUGGUUGAGUGGAGAAGACCAGGUGGAGCAGAGCCCUCAGACCCUGAGACCCCAGGAGGGAGACAGUAUCAGCCUCAACUGCAGUUACACCGUCAGCAAUUUUAGAGGGCUACUGUGGUACAGGCAGGAUCCUGGGAAAGGCCCUGAACUCCUCUUCCUCCUGUCCUCAGUUGGGAAGCCAGAGCAUAAAGAAAGAAUAAGAGCUACACUCUUUGAGAAAGGAAGUUCUCUGCACAUCACAGACUCCAAACCUGAAGACUCAGCCACUUACCUCUGCGCUGUGGAGACACAGUGCUCCCAGGCACCUGCAAGCCUGCACCAAAACCCUGCAGCUGGGGCCCUGGAUUAAGGGCAUCUCUGUUGUUUAUCCUCCUCAAAGAAGUAUUUACUUAGCACCCGGAACCUCUUCCCAAGUGGUCCUGUAGACAAGGAAGUCUUCUGACACGGUCAGAUGCCAGAGAUUACUGUUCAUUCCGUCCAGGGAUGCUAGACAGUGCCCUUUGCCUGUACAUGGGUCAGUCUGCUCUUCAUAACAGCCCAGAGCUUCCCUCUCAUCGAUUCAGAGGGACAGCUGUGAUCUGGAGAGGCUUGGUUUCUAGUCUUGGCCACUUGAAAAGAAACUGCACAGGAAUAUACGCUCUUCCCUAAAAUAACUUCUUUUUUUGCAUUCUCUCGUAAUAAUCUGGUCACAUGUCUAUAAGUGAAUCUUUCCCAUUUCAAUAUGGUCUUCUUGAAGCUCGUAUCUCCACCAGCCACAUUUCUAUACUUCUCUGCUCCUUAAUAAUCAGAUUGGUUGAAAGAAUCGUCUAUACUUACUGUCUUAUUUCCUCAACUCCCAUUCCUCACCUCCGCUUGAAUCUGGCUUCUGUUGACAGCACUCCAAAAGAAGCUCUCAUCUUAACAUCAGUGGUUUUGGUGUUUAAGCCAACAGAUAUUUUUCAGCCCUCAUCUUGUCUGAGAUUCUCAGCAGUCUUUUUUCC